rnacentral:rRNA from 1 species
UGGGGAAUAUUGGACAAUGGAGGAAACUCUGAUCCAGCAAUUCUGUGUGGGUGAAGAAGGUUUUAGGACUGUAAAACACUUUUAGGAGGGAAGAAAAAAAUGACGGUACCUACAGAAGAAGCAACGGCUAAAUACGUGCCAGCAGCCGCGGUAAUACGUAUGUUGCGAGCGUUAUCCGGAAUUAUUGGGCUUAAAGGGCAUCUAGGCGGUAAGACAAGUUGAAGGUGAAAACCUGUGGCUCAACCAUAGGCUUGCCUACAAAACUGUUGAACUAGAGUACUGGAAAGGUGGGUGGAACUACACGAGUAGAGGUGAAAUUCGUAGAUAUGUGUAGGAAUGCCGAUGAUGAAGAUAACUCACUGGACAGAAACUGACGCUGAAGUGCGAAAGCUAGGGGAGCAAACAGG